AAACUUUUCAGCUAGAGUAUGAUAGAGGAAAGCAGAAUUUCUAGUGUAGAGGUGAAAUUCGUAGAUAUUAGAAAGAAUACCAAUUGCGAAGGCAGCUUUCUGGAUCAUUACUGACACUGAGGAACGAAAGCAUGGGUAGCGAAGAGGAUUAGAUACCCUCGUAGUCCAUGCCGUAAACGAUGUGUGUUAGACGUUGGAAAUUUAUUUUCAGUGUCGCAGCGAAAGCGAUAAACACACCGCCUGGGGAGUACGACCGCAAGGUUAAAACUCAAAUGAAUUGACGGGGACCCGCACAAGUAGUGGAGCAUGUGGUUUAAUUCGAAGAUACGCGCAGAACCUUACCAACACUUGACAUGUUCGUCGCGACUUUAAGAGAUUAAAGUUUUCGGUUCGGCCGGACGAAACACAGGUGCUGCAUGGCUGUCGUCAGCUCGUGUCGUGAGAUGUUGGGUUAAGUCCCGCAACGAGCGCAACCCUCACUUUUAGUUGCCAUCAUUAAGUUGGGCACUCUGAAAGAACUGCCAGUGAUAAGCUGGAGGAAGGUGGGGAUGACGUCAAGUCCUCAUGGCCCUUACGUGUUGGGCUACACACGUGCUACAAUGGUAUCUACAACAGGAAGCAAGACGGCGACGUUAAGCAAAUCCUUAAAAGAUACCUCAGUUCGGAUUGCACUCUGCAACUCGAGUGCAUGAAGCUGGAAUUACUAGUAAUCGUGGAUCAGCGUGCCACGGUGAAUGCGUUCCCGGGUCUUGUACACACCGCCCGUCACACCAUGGGAGUUGGUUCUACCUUAAGGCAAGGUUUAAAACCCUUGACCACGGUAUAGUCAGCGACUGGGGUGAAGUCGUAACAAGGUAGCCGUAGGGGAACCUGCGGCUG
rnacentral:rRNA from 1 species